CCAAUAGCGUAUAUUAAAGUUGUUGCAGUUAAAAAGCUCGUAGUUGAAUUUUGGAUUCGGCCAAUUGGUCCAUCUUUUAGAUGAGUACUGGUUGUGUUGGGUCUAUCCGCCUGGUGAUACGUAAUGUCCUUUAUUGGAUGUUGCGGGUAGUCAGGACCUUUACCUUGAAAAAAUUAGAGUGUUUAAAGCAGGCUUAUGCCGGAAUACAUUAGCAUGGAAUAAUAGAAUAGGACGAAGUUGUUUUAUUUUGUUGGUUUCUAGGACAACCGUAAUGAUUAAUAGGGAUAGUUGGGGGCAUUAGUAUUCAAUUGUCAGAGGUGAAAUUCUUGGAUUUAUUGAAGACUAACUACUGCGAAAGCAUUUGCCAAGGAUGUUUUCAUUAAUCAAGAACGAAAGUUAGGGGAUCGAAGACGAUCAGAUACCGUCGUAGUCUUAACCAUAAACUAUGCCGACUAGGGAUCGGGCGAUGUUGUUUCCAUGACUCGCUCGGCACCUUAUG
rnacentral:rRNA from 1 species